rnacentral:piRNA from 2 species
UGACAGUUCCAAGGUGACUCUGGUGACCCA